AAGGGCUAUAGCCCACCCGUUUUUUGGCCAUUUUUCCGCUGGGGGGUCUUGGGACCCCGACCUUCGGGAGCUGGUUUUUGGGCGCGGCUGUGCCCGUGGCCUAUUUUUGGCACACGGAGGCCGCCCGCCAAGUCUGGUGCCAUUCCGAGUCCCGCGGACGAACUUCGCCCACGCCCCCCACCAAGGCUAUAGCCCACCCGUUUUUUGGCCAUUUUUCCGCUGGGGGGUCUUGGGACCCCGACCUUCGGGGGCUGGUUUUUGGACGCGGCUGUGCCCGUGGCCUAUUUUUGGCACACGGAGGCCGCCCGCCAAGUCUGGGGCCAUUCCGAGUCCCACGGACGAACUUCGCCCACGCCCCCCACCAAGGCUAUAGCCCACCCGUUUUUUGGCCAUUUUUCCGCUGGGGGGUCUUGGGACCCCGACCUUCGGGAGCUGGUUUUUGGGCGCGUCUGUGCCCGUGGCCUAUUUUGGGCACACGGAGGCCGCCCGCCAAGUCUGGUGCCAUUCCGAGUCCCGCGGACGAACUUCGCCCACGCCCCCCACCAAGGCUAUAGCCCACCCGUUUUUUGGCAUUUUUCCGCUGGGGGGUCUUGGGACCCCGACCUUCGGGUGCUGUAUUUUGGGCGCGGCUGUGCCCGCGGCGUAUUUUUGGCACACGGAGGCGGCCUGCCAAGUCUGGUGCCAUUCCGAGUCCCGCGGACGAACUUCGCCCACGCCCCCCACCAAGGCUAUAGCCCACCCGUUUUUUGGCAUUUUUCCGCUGGGGGGUCUUGGGACCCCGACCUUCGGGUGCUGUAUUUUGGGCGCGGCUGUGCCCGCGGCGUAUUUUUGGCACACGGAGGCGGCCUGCCAAGUCUGGUGCCAUUCCGAGUCCCGCGGACGAACUUCGCCCACGCCCCCCACCAAGGCUAUAGCCCACCCGUUUUUUGGCAUUUUUCCGCUGGGGGGUCUUGGGACCCCGACCUUCGGGGGCUGGUUUUUUGGCGCGGCUGUGCCCGUGGCCUAUUUUUGGCACACGGAGGCCGCCCGCCAAGUCUGGUGCCAUUCCGAGUCCCGCGGACGAACUUCGCCCACGCCCCCCACCAAGGCUAUAGCCCACCCGUUUUUUGGCCAUUUUUCCGCUGGGGGGUCUUGGGACCCCGAACUUCGGGGGCUGUUUUUUUGGCGCGGCUGUGCCCGUGGCCUAUUUUUGGCACACGGCGGCCGCCCGCCAAGUCUGGUGCCAUUCCGAGUCCUGCGGACGAACUUCGCCCACGCCCCCCACCAAGGCUAUAGCCCACCCCGUUUUUUGGACAUUUUUCCGCUGGGGGGUCUUGGGACCCCGACCUUCGGGGGCUGUUUUCUGGGCGCAGCUGUGCUCGUGGCCUAUUUUUGGCACACGGAGGCCGCCCGCCAAUUGUGGUGCCAUUCCGAGUCCCGCGGAACGAACUUCGCCCACGCCCCCCACCAAGGCUAUAGCCCACCCGUUUUUUGGCCAUUUUUCCGCUGGGGGGUCUUGGGACCCCGACCUUCGGGGGCUGUUUUUUGGGCGCGGCUGUGCCCGUGGCCUAUUUUUGGCACACGGAGGCCGCCCGCCAAGUCUGGUGCCAUUCCGAGUCCCGCGGACGAACUUCGCCCACGCCCCCCACCAAGGCUAUAGCCCACCCGUUUUUUGGCCAUUUUUCCGCUGGGGGGUCUUGGGACCCCGACCUUCGGUGGCUGGUUUUUGGGCGCGGCUGUGCCCGUGGCCUAUUUUUGGCACACGGAGGCCGCCCGCCAAGUCUGGUGCCAUUCCGAGUCCCGCGGACGAACUUCGCCCACGCCCCCCACCAAGGCUAUAGCCCACCCGUUUUUUGGCCAUUUUUCCGCUGGGGGGUCUUGGGACCCCGACCUUCGGGGGCUGUUUUUUGGGCGCGGCUGUGCCCGUGGCCUAUUUUUGGCACACGGAGGCCGCCCGCCAAGUCUGGUGCCAUUCCGAGUCCCGCGGACGAACUUCGCCCACGCCCCCCACCAAGGCUAUAGCCCACCCGUUUUUUGGCCAUUUUUCCGCUGGGGGGUCUUGGGACCCCGACCUUCGGGGGCUGUUUUUUGGGCGCGGCUGUGCCCGUGGCCUAUUUUUGGCACACGGAGGCCGCCCGCCAAGUCUGGUGCCAUUCCGAGUCUCGCGGACGAACUUCGCCCACGCCCCCCACCAAGGGUAUAGCCCACCCGUUUUUUGCCCAUUUUUCCGCUGGGGGCUCUUGGGACCCCGACCUUCGGGGGCUGUUUUUUGGGCACGGCUGUGCCCGUGGCCUAUUUUUGGCACACGGAGGCCGCCCGCCAAGUCUGGUGCCAUUCGGAGUCCCGCGGACGAACUUCGCCCACGCCCCCCACCAAGGCUAUAGCCCACCCGUUUUUUGGCCAUUUUUCCGCUGGGGGGUCUUGGGAGCCCGACCUUCGGGGGCUGUUUUUUGGGCGCGGCUGUGCCCCUGGCCUAUUUUUGGCACACGGAGGCCGCCCGCCAAGUCUGGUGCCAUUCCGAGUCCCGCGGACGAACUUCGCCCACGUCCCCCACCAAGGCUAUAGCCCACCCGUUUUUUGGCCAUUUUUCCGCUGGGGGGUCUUGGGACCCCGACCUUCGGGGGCUGUUUUUUGGGCGCGGCUGUGCCCGUGGCCUAUUUUUGGCACACGGAGGCCGCCCGCCAAGUCUGGUGCCAUUCCGAGUCCCGCGGACGAACUUCGCCCACGGCCCCCACCAAGGCUAUAGCCCACCUGUUUUUUGGCCAUUUUUCCGCUGGGGGGUCUUGGGACCCCGAACUUCGAGGGCUGUUUUUUGGGCGCGGCUGUGCCCGUGGCAUAUUUUUGGCACACGGAGGCCGCCCGCCAAGUCUGGUGCCAUUCCGAGUCCCGCGGACGAAUUUCGCCCACGCCCCCCACCAAGGCUAUAGCCCACCUGUUUUUUGGCCAUUUUUCCGCUGGGGGGUCUUGGGACCCCGAACUUCGAGGGCUGUUUUUUGGGCGCGGCUGUGCCCGUGGCAUAUUUUUGGCACACGGAGGCCGCCCGCCAAGUCUGGUGCCAUUCCGAGUCCCGCGGAUGAAUUUCGCCCACGCCCCCCACCAAGGCUAUAGCCCACCCGUUUUUUGGCCAUUUUUCCGCUGGGGGGUCUUGGGACCCCGACCUUCAGGGGCUGUUUUUUGGGCGCGGCUGUGCCCCUGGCCUAUUUUUGGCACACGGAGGCCGCCCGCCAAGUCUGGUGCCAUUCCGAGUCCCGCGGACGAACUUCGCCCACGCCCCCCACCAAGGCUAUAGCCCACCCGUUUUUUGGCCAUUUUUCCGCUGGGGGGUCUUGGGACCCCGACCUUCGGGGGCUGUUUUUUGGGCGCGGCUGUGCCCGUGGCCUAUUUUUGGCACACGGAGGCCGCCCGCCAAGUCUGGUGCCAUUCCGAGUCCCGCGGACGAACUUCGCCCACGGCCCCCACCAAGGCUAUAGCCCACCUGUUUUUUGGCCAUUUUUCCGCUGGGGGGUCUUGGGACCCCGACCUUCGGGGGCUGUUUUUUGGGCGCGGCUGUGCCCGUGGCAUAUUUUUGGCACACGGAGGCCGCCCGCCAAGUCUGGUGCCAUUCCGAGUCCCGCGGACGAACUUCGCCCACGCCCCCCACCAAGGCUAUAGCCCACCCGUUUUUUGGCCAUUUUUCCGCUGGGGGGUCUUGGGACCCCGACCUUCGGGGGCUGUUUUUUGGGCGCGGCUGUGCCCGUGGCCUAUUUUUGGCACACGGAGGCCGCCCGCCAAGUCUGGUGCCAUUCUGAGUCCCGCGGACGAACUUCGCCCACGCCCCCCACCAAGGCUAUAGCCCACCCGUUUUUUGGCCAUUUUUCCGCUGGGGGGUCUUGGGACCCCGACCUUUGGGGGCUGGUUUUUGGGCGCGGCUGUGCCCGUGGCCUAUUUUUGGCACACGGAGGCCGCCCGCCAAGUCUGGUGCCAUUCCGAGUCCCGCGGACGAACUUCGCCCACGCCCCCCACCAAGGCUACAGCCCACCCGUUUUUUGGCCAUUUUUCCGCUGGGGGGUCUUGGGACCCCGACCUUCGGGGGCUGUUUUUUGGGCGCGGCUGUGCCGGUGGCCUAUUUUUGGGACACGGAGGCCGCCCGCCAAGUCUGGUGCCAUUCCGAGUCCCGCGGACGAACUUCGCCCACGCCCCCCACUAAGGCUAUAGCCCACCCGUUUUUUGUCCAUUUUUCCGCUGGGGGGUCUUGGGACCCCGACCUUCGGGGGCUGUUUUUUGGGCGCGGCUGUGCCCGUGGCCUAUUUUUGGCACACGGAGGCCGCCCGCCAAGUCUGGUGCCAUUCCGAGUCCCGCGGACGAACUUCGCCCACGCCCCCCACCAAGGCUAUAGCCCACCCGUUUUUGGGCCAUUUUUCCGCUGGGGGGUCUUCGGACCCCGACCUUCGGGGGCUGGUUUUUGGGCGCGGCUGUGCCCGUGGCCUAUUUUUGGCACACGGAGGCCGCCCGCCAAGUCUGGUGCCAUUCCGAGUCCCGCGGACGAACUUCGCCCACGGCCCCCACCAAGGCUAUAGCCCACCCGUUUUUUGGCCAUUUUUCCGCUGGGGGGUCUUGGGACCCCGACCUUCGGGAGCUGUUUUUUGGGCGCGGCUGUGCCCGUGGCCUAUUUUUGGCACACGGAGGCCGCCCGCCAAGUCUGGUGCCAUUCCGAGUCCCGCGGACGAAC
rnacentral:lncRNA from 1 species